AUUUGUGAUACAAACAUGCUUUAUUCUAUACUGAGUAGCAUUUUUAAACGGCGACAUUUUGAACAUUUUUAUAUUUAGAGUGAGAGUGGAUACACAUUACACUGGCGCCGACAUUUUGAAAAUUUGAGGAAACAAAAACAUUCUCCAACGAGUUCUUCAGCUCGGGGAAUGAGAGAAUAGAUUCACCUUUGUGUCGCUUUUCAGAUCGUAUUUUAAUUCCUUUCCGAAUAUGGACGGCACUCCAGUACAGCAUGUGCAUGGUUGGCCUGUUGACAUUUUUAGAAACGCAUCUUGGUCUAUUAUACAGAUGAUUGUUGUACUGCUCCAAAGUGCUUGUUGACAGACUGAAACCACUUGCUUGCGGCUCAUAAGGUUCACUUCUUGAGAGCAGGCAGCUACAAAAUGGAAGGUCAACAAAUCCAGUAUACUUGAAAAGCAAGAAAGAAACACCAGAAAAUAUAAAAAGACAGAAGAACAAGGGAACUUAAAAAAACAAAACUUUUAAGGAUAGGAAUUCAGGAUUUAUUUAGAAACUAAAUUUAUUUUGAGAAGGGCAGUGUUUGACAAAGCUCUGUUACUUUAAGAGAUAAUGUAUUAUCACAUUGGUUUUGUUAUUGUCGAGCCCGUGUGCGGAAGCAAAGACAUAGUUGUCCAAAUGUCUAUUCGGUUUAUGUGCGUGCGUCCGUCCGUCCGUCCGGACCAUAAUUUGGACAUGCAUGGAGCAAUCUUGUUUAUAUAUGGUAUGAAUGUUAACCUCAGUGAGACGGAGUGUCAUGCGCAAGCCCCAGGUUCCUAUCUCAAAGGUCAAGAUCACACUUACAGGUCAAAGGUCAAAUUCAAAAAUGACUGUCCGGAGCAUUUCUUCUUGAUGCAUGGAGGGAUUUUGAUGUAACUUGGCACAAUUGUUCACCAUCAUGAGAUGGAGUGUCUUGCGCAAGAACCAGGUCCCUAGGUCUAAGGUCAAGGUCACACUUAGAGGUCAAAGGAUACAAGAAUGACAACUUUGUCUGGAGCAUUUCUUCUUCAUGCAUGGAUGGACUUUGAUGUAACUUGGCACAAAUGUUCACCACCAUGAGACGGAGUGUCAUACGGAAGAACUUGGUCUAAGGUCAAGGUCACACUUAGAGGUACAAAGUCAGAUACAAAAAUGACUUUGUCUGGAGCGUUUCUUUUGAUGCAUAGAGGGAUUUUGAUGUAACUUGGCACAAUUGUUCAUCAUCAUGCGACGGAGUGUCAUGCAAAAGAUCCUAGAAUUACUUCCCUUUGCUGUUACUAUAAAUAGCUUACAUUUGUAACUUUUUUAUUACUGGUCGUAGGGAAAAAUCAAGACUACUUUUCUGUAGUACAACAUGCAUGUUACAUCCAAUUUUCAGGUGUAUUUUGACCUAUCUCUGCUGGUGCGGAUUUUUAUGUGGACUUAGAAUUUUUUUUAUAUAUUUUUUUUAAUUUUUUUUUUUUAAUUUUUUUUUUUAAAUUAUACGUUCCUUUGUUGUUACUGUAAAUAACUUAUAUUGUAACUUUUUUGCAAUCUCUUUUAUUUGGCAUAAAUGUUUGCCUCAAUGAGACAAGGAGUGUCAUGCACAACUCCCAGUCCUUUUGACAGCUGGCGGGCUUGACAUAUUGCCCGUGGGUAUCUAGUUCUCGUAUUUUUCAUGAGAUUUUAAAGAGAAUGUUCUGUUAUACCCCCAUGUAGUAAGCUUGUUUGUCUUUCAGUCAGUAGGUUUUCAUGGCUUCCAGGUGAUAACUCAUGAAAAGCUUGACCGCUUUAAAUAUUUUUUGGUACAUAGUUACAGGUCAAGUUCGACUUUGGGGUCAGUAGGUCAAAGGUCAAGAUAACUUGCAAAUGCUUUGGCCUGGGAUCAUAGCUUUUGUAACACAGGUGUAACAUGAUAAAAUACAGGUUGUUUGAAUUUGAGGUCAAUAUAUCAAAGGUCAAGGUCACAGUGACCUUGAACAGUUGAGCCGUUUCCGAAUGAUAACUUGAGACCUUGAGCCUAGGAUGAUAAAGUUUGGUACACAGGUGUCACAUCAUGAAAUGCAGGUCAAGUUUUAUUUUGAGGUGAGUAGAUCAAGGUCACAAUAAGGCAAAACAGUGAAAUGUUUUUCAGAUUAUAACUUGAGAAUGCUUGAGCCUAGGAUCAUGAAAAUUGUUAGGGAGGUUGAUUUAGACCAGCAGGUGACCCCUAAUGAUGUUGAGGUCAGUAGGUCACAGGUCAAGGUCACACUGACCCGGUUCUUUAAAAUGAUGCACAGAGGGGCACAUGGGGUCUUCCUCCACCAUUAAAACUGUAAAGUCGCCAUAUGACCUAUCCUGUGUCGGUGUGAUGUUAAGUUCAACAAAAUAAAUAACAGUUCUUUAAAACGGUUUUUGGACAAUAACUUUAGGAUGCUUGGAUGAGAAACACAAAAUUUAGUACAAGGUUGGUCUUGACCAGCAGAUUACCUGUAUUGAUUUAGAGUUCCAAAGGUCAGGAUGACCCUGA